GAGGGCAUCGCUCAAAUGGUAGAGUGCAUGCUUAGUGUGCACAAGGUCCUGGGUUCAAUCCCCAGUACUCUCU
rnacentral:tRNA from 1 species